rnacentral:rRNA from 1 species
AGUGAACGCUGGCGGUAGGCCUAACACAUGCAAGUCGAACGGCAGCACAGUAAGAGCUUGCUCUUACGGGUGGCGAGUGGCGGACGGGUGAGGAAUACAUCGGAAUCUACUUUUUCGUGGGGGAUAACGUAGGGAAACUUACGCUAAUACCGCAUACGACCUACGGGUGAAAGCAGGGGAUCUUCGGACCUUGCGCGAUUGAAUGAGCCGAUGUCGGAUUAGCUAGUUGGCGGGGUAAAGGCCCACCAAGGCGACGAUCCGUAGCUGGUCUGAGAGGAUGAUCGCCCGCACGGGAACUGGAACACGGUCCCGGCGCCUGCGAGAGGCAGCAGUCGGGAAUGUGAGGCAAUGGGCGGGAGCAUGAUCCAGCGGUACCGCGUGGGAGGAGGAGACCCUGGGGUUGUAAAGCCCUUUUGUUGGGAAAAAAAAGCAGCAGGUUGAGACGCCGCUGUUGUGACGGUACCCGAAGAAUAAGCACCGGCUAACUUCGUG